GAGUCAAUUCUUAUUCUCGAGCAGAGGUCUCUCGUACUCAGUAAGGAGGGUACGCUGCGAACUCAGCAAAAAAAAGUUGUUUACUCUCACUCCUAAAAGCAUACCUCGCCUUCGGCAAGCACUGCAAUUUACCAAAUAUUGUCUCUGAAUCAAUGCGUUUAGAGCGCUGCUUCUUCUCCCUUUUCUAGACCUUACCUGAGACUUCAAUGAACCCGAAGAGGUAUGCUAAUGAAUUCAUUAAUGUUUGGUUGCAUGAGCCCCUGCCCCAACCGCUUAAAUGCUCCAAAAAUGUAACCCAACCUUUCCCACAUCUGCCUGUCACCCAAACCUCUAGGGACAUAAGAAUCCAUUGAGGGAGGAACAUAUGACAAGGUGACGCAAUGACAUCAAACAACAGAAAGAAGGGUUGAAAGAUUGAUGAAUAAACCACUUCCUCCCUUCUAUCAAACAAUCAAACCCUGGUUGCUUCACCCCAACCAUGGAUUUCUCAACCUUUCUUUCUUUCACUUGAUUCUCUUCCUUCUGGCCAACCCCUCGUAUCAGACUUGCUUCUCUUCUAGUGGAGGGUUAAAGUUUUCUUAGUUUUCAUUGGCGGAUAAUCAUGCCUGAGAAAGAUUGUCCCUCUCAUCUAAGGAUGCAUAAUCAUUUUCUUACCUACCUGCCAUUGAGAAUUUUCUCUUGAAAGUGGGGGUUUUGAGAAAAGUAGUGGCUGGUACAGUUUCAAAAGUGGGCUAAAUAUCUUAGUCAUCGGGCGGGGAAGAUGCAACAACAAAAUUGGAUUCUU
rnacentral:lncRNA from 1 species